UGACGAGUGGCGGACGGGUGAGUAAUGUCUGGGAAACUGCCUGAUGGAGGGGGAUAACUACUGGAAACGGUAGCUAAUACCGCAUAACGUCGCAAGACCAAAGAGGGGGACCUUCGGGCCUCUUGCCAUCGGAUGUGCCCAGAUGGGAUUAGCUUGUUGGUGGGGUAACGGCUCACCAAGGCGACGAUCCCUAGCUGGUCUGAGAGGAUGACCAGCCACACUGGAACUGAGACACGGUCCAGACUCCUACGGGAGGCAGCAGUGGGGAAUAUUGCACAAUGGGCGCAAGCCUGAUGCAGCCAUGCCGCGUGUAUGAAGAAGGCCUUCGGGUUGUAAAGUACUUUCAGCGGGGAGGAAGGGAGUAAAGUUAAUACCUUUACUCAUUGACGUUACCCGCAGAAGAAGCACCGGCUAACUCCGUGCCAGCAGCCGCGGUAAUACGGAGGGUGCAAGCGUUAAUCGGAAUUACUGGGCGUAAAGCGCACGCAGGCGGUUUGU
rnacentral:rRNA from 1 species